rnacentral:lncRNA from 1 species
AAAGCCAGCCAGCCGCCUGGGGUUGGGGACAGAGGCCCGGGGACGCCUGGCUCCGGGCGGGAUUAUGGAUGUUGUCGGGGGCGUGAUGAUGUGUGGGUUGAGCCUGGCGCUCUGACCCUGGGUCCACCGAGAGGCUGUCAUGGGGCUGUGGAUUGGAUGCCAGGGAACAGCGGAGUGGGGACCCUGGGCCUGGGAAUGGGUGCCGACCACCUCCGUCCCGCGCAGGCAAUGGCAACGAGGGCAGCGUCACUGGAAGUUGUUAUUGUGGUAAAAGAAUUUCUUCCGACUCCCCGCCAUCGGUUCAGUUCAUGAAUCGUCUCCGGAAACACCUGAGAGCUUACCAUCGGUGUCUAUACUACACGAGGUUCCAGCUCCUUUCCUGGAGCGUGUGUGGGGGCAACAAGGACCCAUGGGUUCAGGAAUUGAUGAGCUGUCUUGAUCUCAAAGAAUGUGGACAUGCUUACUCGGGGAUUGUGGCCCACCAGAAGCAUUUACUUCCUACCAGCCCCCCAAUUUCUCAGGCCUCAGAGGGGGCAUCUUCAGAUAUCCACACCCCUGCCCAGAUGCUCCUGUCCACCUUGCAGUCCAC